rnacentral:rRNA from 1 species
GAGUUUGAUCGUGGCUCAGAUUGAACGCUGGCGGCAUGCCUUACACAUGCAAGUCGAACGGCAGCAUGAUCUAGCUUGCUAGAUUGAUGGCGAGUGGCGAACGGGUGAGUAAUACAUCGGAACGUGCCCUGUAGUGGGGGAUAACUAGUCGAAAGAUUAGCUAAUACCGCAUACGACCUGAGGGUGAAAGUGGGGACCGCAAGGCCUCAUGCUAUAGGAGCGGCCGAUGUCUGAUUAGCUAGUUGGUGGGGUAAAGGCCCACCAAGGCGACGAUCAGUAGCUGGUCUGAGAGGACGAUCAGCCACACUGGGACUGAGACACGGCCCAGACUCCUACGGGAGGCAGCAGUGGGGAAUUUUGGACAAUGGGCGAAAGCCUGAUCCAGCAAUGCCGCGUGUGUGAAGAAGGCC